CCCUUAGAUGUCCUGGGCCGCACGCGCGUUACACUGAUGCAUUCAACGAGCAUAUAACCUUGGCCGAGAGGCCUGGGUAAUCUUGUUAACAUGCAUCGUGAUAGGGAUAGAUUAUUGCAAUUAUUAAUCUUGAACGAGGAAUUCCUAGUAACCGCAGUUCAUCAAACUGCAAUGAUUACGUCCCUGCCCUUUGUACACACCGCCCGUCGCACCUACCGAUUGAAUGGUCCGGUGAGGACUCGGGAUUGUGGUUUAGCUCCUUCAUUGGGGCCUGACUGCGAGAACUUGUCCGAACCUUAUCAUUUAGAGGAAGGUGAAGUCGUAACA
rnacentral:rRNA from 1 species